GAUGAACGCUGGCGGUAUGCUUAACACAUGCAAGUCGAACGGACUCUUCGGAGUUAGUGGCGGCCGGGUGUGUAACGCGUGAGAAUCUGGCUUUGGGUUCGGGACACCCACUGGAAACGGUGGCUAAUACCGGAUGUGCCGAGAGGUAAAAGAGAAAUUGCCUGAAGAUGAGCUCGCGUCUGAUUAGCUAGUUGGUGAGGUAAAGGCUCACCAAGGCAGCGAUCAGUAGCUGGUCUGAGAGGAUGACCAGCCACACUGGGACUGAGACACGGCCCAGACUCCUACGGGAGGGAGCAGGGGGGAAUGUUCCGCAAUGGGCGAAAGCCUGACGGAGCAAUACCGCGUGAGGGAAGAAGGCUCUUGGGUUGUAAACCUCUUUUCUUAGGGAAGAACAAAAUGACGGUACCUAAGGAAUCAGCAUCGGCUAACUCCGUG
rnacentral:rRNA from 1 species